UACGGAGGGGGCUAGCGUUGUUCGGAAUUACUGGGCGUAAAGAGCGCGUAGGCUGUUUACCAAGUCAGGUGUGAAAGCCCGAGGCUUAACCUCGGAAUUGCACUUGAAACUAGUAGACUAGAAAUCGGUAGAGGAUAGUGGAAUUCCCAGUGUAGAGGUGAAAUUCGUAGAUAUUGGGAGGAACACCGGAGGCGAAGGCGGCUAUCUGGACCGACUUUGACGCUGAGGCGCUAAAGCGUGGGGAGCAAACCGG
rnacentral:rRNA from 1 species